CUGCGGCGCCUGCUGAGGGCGGCGGCUCGCCACGACCUGCUCAGGUGUGUGACGCUCAAGAGGCCGCGGCCAGUGUCACCUGAGCGUGUCACCUGUGUCCCGGCCCUGGGGGGCACCUGCCCGAGCCCCGCCCAGCCCCGCCCCGAGCACUGGGAGACAGGCUCCAGUUCCGGUUCCAGUUCCGGGAAAAGGAAACGAAAUUCCCAAAAUUCCCAAAAUAAUUCCCGAAAUAAUUCCCGAAACUCUCAGAAUUCCCAAAACAAUCCC